ACCAGCCAUGCAGUGCCACGCUGCCACAUUGUUGACCCUCGCUUUCACCCCACUUCCAGACAUUGACAAGUGAAGCCUUUGGAGCCUCAGUCACUCAUGACUUGCCUCCUUUGUUACCUGCCUGAUCUGCAGUCUCAUGUUGGCCCUGAUUCAUGGUGGUCAGCACGUAAGCCACUGAGCAGUACCACAAAAUGGCUGUGACCUUGAACGGACAAAGAACUCAGGAAGUGACAGUUCUGGGUGAUGAUAAGACAGCACAACCUGGUCUUGGACUAAAAAUGCAGUUUUGAUCAAGAAGAAGGAAGACUAAAGUGUGGAUACUUCAGUCCUUCUUAGAAUGGGGAACAAAAUACCCAUGGAAGGAGUUACAGAGACAAAGUUCGGAGCUAAGGCGGAAGGAAGGACAAUCCAGAGACUGCCCCACCUGGGGAUCCAUCCCAUAUACAACCACCAAGCCCAGACACUAUUGCAUAUGCCAGAAAGACUUUGCUGACAGGACCCUGAUAUAGCUCUCUCUUGUGAGGCUAUGCCAGUGCCUGGCAAAUACAGAAGUGGAUGAUCAUAGUCAUCUCUUGGAUGGAACACAGGGCCCCCAACGGAGGAGCUAGAGAAAGUACCCAAGGAGCUGAAGGGUUCUGCAACCCUAUAGGUGGAACAACAAUAUGAACUAACCAGUACACCCAGAGCUUGUGUCUCUAGCUGCACGUGUAGCAGAAGAUGGCCUAGUUGGCCAUCAAUGGGAAGAGAGGUCCCUUGGUCUUCCAAAUUUUAUAUGCCCCAGUACAGGGGAAUGCCAGGGCCAAGAAGUGGAAGUGGGUAGGUAGGGGAGCAGGGUGCGGGGAGGGUAUAGGGGACUUUUGGGAUAGCAUUUGAAAUGUAAAUGAAGAAAAUAACUAAUAAAAAAUUGGAAAAAAUGCA
rnacentral:lncRNA from 1 species